rnacentral:misc_RNA from 1 species
UACAAAUUAUGGGAGCAGCAGGUUCAAAUUUAAGCUGGAUUGUAGCUUCUGUUUCAGAAAGUGUUCUACCACAAAUUGUGGGUGUUGAAAUGGCUUGUGGUGCUUGGUCGAAGCUUGUGGCUACCUAUGCUUCAACCUCUAAACCACAGAUUCAUGAGUUGAAAACACAGCUACAUAAUCUUCAUUGAGAGAAUAAUAGUAUCGAAGUUUAUGUUCAGAAGGCUAAGGGAAUUUCGGAUAAACUUGCG